UACAUGCAAGUAUCCGCAUUCCAGUGUAGAUGCCCUAGGCACCCUUCUUCAACCAAGUCGAUAGGAGCGAGUAUCAGACACGCCCAAACUUCCAGGCAGUCCAAGACACUUUGCAUUUGCCACGCCUCCACAGGUACUCAGCAGUAGUUAACAUUAAGCAAUAAGUGUAAACUUGACUUAGUCAUAGCAACCUAAAGAGUCGGUAAAUCCUGUGCCAGCCACCGCGGUCAUACAGGAGACUCAAAUCAACUUUAUAACGGCGUAAAGGGUGGUAACAUGUUAUCCAAACAACUAAGAUGAAAAAACAACUGAGCCGUAACAAGCCUAAGAUGUCCAUAAAACCAUCUACCGAAGAAGAUCUUAGAUCCACGAUUAAUUGAAAUCCACGAAAGCUAGGACCCAAACUGGGAUUAGAUACCCCACUAUGCCUGGCCCUAAAUCUUGAUACUCUGACCUACUUGAGUAUCCGCCCGAGAACUACGAGCACAAACGCUUAAAACUCUAAGGACUUGGCGGUGUCCCAAACCCACCUAGAGGAGCCUGUUCUAUAAUCGAUGAUCCACGAUAUACCUAACCAUCUCUUGCAGAGUCAGCCUAUAUACCGCCGUCGCCAGCUCACCCUCCCUGACGGAUCAACAGUGAGCGCAAUAGCCUCUACGCUAAUAAGACAGGUCAAGGUAUAGCCUAUGGGAUGGAAGUAAUGGGCUACAUUUUCUAGAUUAGAACAUCACGGCAAAAAGACAUGAAACAGUCUUUAGAAGGCGGAUUUAGCAGUAAAGUGGGAUAAUCAAGCCCUCUUUAAGCCGGCUCUGGGGCACGUACAUACCGCCCGUCACCCUCCUCGCAAGCGACCAAACUAAAAUACAUUGAUACGCUAU
rnacentral:ncRNA from 1 species